ARDNWDCUARCNAUUGGGCCGCACGCUCGCAUGCUUCCCGGACCGCNAUUNCGUGCCGCGNGCAAUUCGGAUUGGGUCCGAAUCGUUAUCCGGAAUCAUUGGGUUUAAAGAGGUCCGCACGCCGUCCAUUAAGUCAGAGGUGAAAUACCUAUCAGCUCAACUAUGGAACUGCCUUUGAUACUGGUUGACUUGAGUCAUAUGGAAGUAGAUAGAAUGUGUAGUGUAGCGGUGAAAUGCAUACAUAUUACACAGAAUACCGAUUGCGAAGGCAGUCUACUACGUAUGUACUGACGCUGAGGGACGAAAGCGUGAGGUAGCGAACAGGAUUAGAUACCCUGGUAGUCCACGCCGUAUACGAUGGAUACUAGUUGUUGGGCAUUAGCUCAGUGACGAAGCGAAAGUGAUCAAGUAUCCCACCUGGGGGAGUACGGUCGCAAGACUGAAACUCAAAGGAAUUGACGGCGGGCUCAR
rnacentral:rRNA from 1 species